rfam:Quang Binh virus isolate JM17156/China/2017, complete genome
GCCCCCGCAAGGAGGGACGUGCUUUUCACGUCUCUGGGAGUUGACGACUCUCCGGCCCCA